rnacentral:misc_RNA from 1 species
GUGAAUCAUCAAAUCUUUGAACGCAAAUUGCACUCUCUUCGGAGAGUAUGCCUGUUUGAGGGUCAGCCUAAAAAAAAUCUACGUAGUCGCUGUUUCGCGGUGACUUUCGCCGGCAUUUGGGUCAUCUUAAACCUCUGGGCUUUUUAAGCGGCUUAAAUUUUUCUUUACGAGUAGACGAACGCUUCUAAGUCAUUA